rnacentral:rRNA from 1 species
UACGUAGGGGGCAAGCGUUGUCCGGAAUCAUUGGGCGUAAAGCGCGCGUAGGCGGCCCGGUAAGUCCGCUGUAAAAGUCAAAGGCUCAACCUUUGAAUGUCAGUGGAUACUGCCGGGCUAGAGUCCGGAAGAGGCGAGUGGAACUCCUGGUGUAGCGGUGGAAUGCGCAGAUAUCAGGAAGAACACCGACGGCGAAGGCAGCUCGCUGGGACGGUACUGACGCUGAGGCGCGAAAGCGUGGGGAGCGAACAGG